AAUUAAUUGUGUUGCCAAAAUAAAUAAAUAAAAAUUAACCGGAACUAACAAAAUAAUAUAAACAUGACGCGGACGCGCAUCAUCGUGCACGCGCAGGUCGCAGGAGCGUUUUCAAAUAGCGAGUUGUAACGGCUCCUUUCCUCCAUUUCAUGACGGCUGUCAUCUCUAACACACGGAAGAACCUCCACAUAAACCCUGAAAUUGUUCAGUAUUCUCUCUCAAACAGCCGUUUGAGUCACCUCAAAUGUAGCAGAGGGCCAGGUUAAAACGGUCCGAUGCACUUCACUUGCAAUGCAGAUCAUCAUUUCUGGACAGCUUUCUACUUACUGCUGUGGACAUGAAAGGUUCAGCAGACUUUUUGCUCUGAAUGAAUG